rnacentral:rRNA from 1 species
AUUGAACGCUGGCGGCAGGCCUAACACAUGCAAGUCGAGCGAGCGGCGGACGGGUGAGUAAUGUAUGGGGACUGCCCGAUAGCGGGGGAUAACUACUGGUAACGGUAGCUAAUACCGCCUACUAUCGGAUAAUCCAUAUGGGAUUAGCUAGUAGGUGAGGUAAUGGCUCAUCUCGGCGACGACCCCUAGCUGGUCUGCGAAGAUGAUCAGCCACACUUGGACGAAGACACGGCCCAGACUCCUACGGAGGCAGCAGUGGGGAAUAUUGAACAAUGGGCGCAAGCCUGAUGCAGCCAUGCCGCGUAGAUGAAGAAGGCCCUAGGGUUGUAAAGUACUGUCAGUCGGGAGGCGUUACCGGCAGAAGAAGCACCAGCUAACUCCGUGCCAGCAGCCGCGGUAAUAC